AUUGAACGCUGGCGGCAGGCUUAACACAUGCAAGUCGAACGAGUGGCGGACGGGUGAGUAAUGCUUGGGAAUCUGGCUUAUGGAGGGGGAUAACUACGGGAAACUGUAGCUAAUACCGCGUACCAUAGGAUGAGCCCAAGUGGGAUUAGGUAGUUGGUGGGGUAAUGGCUCACCAAGCCGACGAUCUCUAGCUGGUCUGAGAGGAUGACCAGCCACACUGGGACUGAGACACGGCCCAGACUCCUACGGGAGGCAGCAGUGGGGAAUAUUGCGCAAUGGGGGCAACCUGACGCAGCCAUGCCGCGUGAAUGAAGAAGGCCUUCGGGUUGUAAAGGUCUUUCGGUAGCGAGGCGUUAACCACAGAAGAAGCACCGGCUAACUCCGUGCCAGCAGCCGCGGUAAUUC
rnacentral:rRNA from 1 species